AUUGAACGCUGGCGGCAGGCCUAACACAUGCAAGUCGAGCGAGCGGCGGACGGGUGAGUAAUGUAUGGGGACUGCCCGUUAGAGGGGGCUAACUACUGGAAACGGUGGCUAAUACUGCCUACUGUCGGAUAACCCAUAUGGGAUUAGCUAGUGGGUAAGGUAAUGUCUUCCCUAGGCGACGAUCCGUAGCUGGUCGGAGAGGAUGAUCAGGCACACUGGGACUGAGACACGGCCCAGACUCCUACGGAGGCAGCAGUGGGGAAUAUUGCACAGUGGGAGCAAGCCUGAUACAGCCAGGCCGCGUGUAUUAAGAAGGCCCUAGGUUUGUAAAGUACUUUCAGUCGGUAGGCGUUACCGACAGAAGAAGCACCGGCUAACUCCGUGCCAGCAGCCGCGGUAAUAC
rnacentral:rRNA from 1 species